rnacentral:rRNA from 1 species
AAAACGGAGGAAGGUGGGGAUGACGUCAAGUCCUCAUGGCCUUUUUUUUCAGGGCGGCUACACACGUGCUACAAUGGCAAAGUACAAAGCGCUGCAAAAGAGCAAUCUGGAGCCAAUCGCAAAAAGCUUGUCUCAAUUCGGAUUGGACUCCCUAGGCUCGAAGACAUGAAGCUGGAAUCGCUAGUAAUCGCAGAUCAGC